UACGUAGGGUGCGAGCGUUGUCCGGAUUUAUUGGGCGUAAAGAGCUCGUAGGCGGCUUGUUGCGUCAGCUGUGAAAACCCGCAGCUCAACUGUGGGCUUGCAGCUGAUACGGGCAGGCUUGAGUUCGGUAGGGGAGACUGGAAUUCCUGGUGUAGCAGUGAAAUGCGUAGAUAUCAGGAGGAAUACCGAUGGCGAAGGCAGGUCUCUGGGCUGACACUGACGUCAUGCACGAAAGCGUGGGGAGCAAACAGG
rnacentral:rRNA from 1 species